rnacentral:miRNA from 11 species
UUCGGGUGUGUGUGUGUGUGUGUGUGUGUGUGUUGAACCCCUAACCCCACCCCACCCCACCCCACCCCCGC